GAUCCUGGCUCAGGACGAACGCUGGCGGCGUGCUUAACACAUGCAAGUCGAACGGGGCUACUAUGAUGGAGUUUUCGGACAACUGAUUAGUAUGCCUAGUGGCGGACGGGUAAGUAACGCGUGAGUAACCUGCCUUUCAGAGGGGGACAACAGCUGGAAACGGCUGCUAAUACCGCAUAAUAUAUACGGAUCGCAUGAUUUGUAUAUCAAAGAUUUUAUCGCUGGAAGAUGGACUCGCG
rnacentral:rRNA from 1 species